CCCACCUACCCCUCUGGCUGCACCUGGGGGGAUGUCCCAGCAGCCACAGAUGUUUUCCUGCUUGGGCACAAUCGGCUCCUCCGGACUCCAGGUACGAUGCAGGGCCAUCCACAGGAGGAAGCGGUACCCACCCUGCCUGGGCCAGAGAGCAGUGAGCAUGGGCACUGUGGCCCUGGGGACGCAUACCUGUGUGGGGAGCGAGCUGGAGCAGGAGCAGAGUAGUGUGGGGAGGAAGCAAGCAGCAGCAGCAGCAGCAGCGCUCACCUCACACCUGACCUGGCAAGAAACCACUGCAGCCGGGGGGUUACUGGGAGACACGGAGGCUCUCAAACGGUUUAUUGCAAAGGGUUCCCGCAGGGGACACGGGAAAAGGAGCAAGGUCCUCUUGGGCCGUGGCGUCUCUACUCCUCGCCCUCCUCUUCGUCCUCGUAGGAGUCCAGGCCCACCUCCUC